CUUCAGCAGCUCAAGAUGCCAAAAGGAAAGAAGGCCAAAGGGAAGAAGGUGGCCCUGGCCCCUGCCACGGUGAAGAAGCAGGAGGCCAAGAAGGUAGUGAAUCCUCUGUUCAAGAAAAGGCCAAAGAACUUCGGCAUUGGGCAGGACAUCCAGCCCAAGAGGGACCUCACCCGCUUUGUCAAAUGGCCCUGCUACAUCCGGUUGCAGCAGCAAAGAGCCAUCCUCUACAAGCGGCUGAAAGUACCUCCUGCCAUUAAUCAGUUCACCCAGGCAUUGGACCACCAAACAGCUACUCAGCUGCUCAAGCUGGCCCACAAGUACAGACCAGAAACAAAGCAAGAGAAGAAGCAGGGACUGUUGGCCCGGGCCGAGAAGAAAGCUGCGGGCAAAGGGGAUGCCCCCACUAAGAGACCACCUGUCCUUAGAGCAGGGGUUAACACUGUCAACACGUUGGUGGGGAACAAGAAGGCUCAGCUGGUGGUGACUGCACAUGAUGUGGACCCCAUUGAGCUGGCUGUUUUCCUGCCUGCCCUGUGUCGGAAGAUGGGGGUCCCUUACUGCAUUAUCAAGGGGAAGGCCAGGCUGGGGUGUCUCCUCCACAGGAAAACCUGCACCACUGUGGCCUUCACGCAGGUUAACUCAGAAGACAAAGGAGCUCUAGCUAAGCUGGUGGAAGCCAUCAGGACCAAUUACAAGGACAGAUACAAUGAGAUCUGCCAUCACUGAGGAGGCAACGUCCUGGGCCUGAAGUCUGUGGUUCACAUUGCCAAGCUGGAAAAGGCUAAGGCUAAAGAACUUGCAACUAAACUGGGCUAAACGUACACUGUAGUUUUCUGUACAUAAAAAUAAUAAAUAUUCAAGCCCCCCCAAAA